rnacentral:tRNA from 1 species
GAGGGUGUAGCUCAAGUGGUAGAGUGCAUGCUUAGCAUGCACGAGGUCCUGGGUUCAAUCCCCAGUACCCCCU